AGCGAACGCUGGCGGCAGGCCUAACACAUGCAAGUCGAACGAACCUUUCGGGGUUAGUGGCGGACGGGUGAGUAACACGUGGGAACAUGCCUUUAGGUUCGGAAUAACUCAGGGAAACUUGUGCUAAUACCGAAUGUGCCCUUCGGGGGAAAGAUUAAUCGCCGUUAGAGGGGCCCGCGUCGGAUUAGCUAGUUGGUUGAGGUAAUGGCUCACCAAGGCGACGAUCAGUAGCUGGUCUGAGAGGAUGAUCAGCCACACUGGGACUGAGACACGGCCCAGACUCCUACGGGAGGCAGCAGUGGGGAAUCUUGCGCAAUGGGCGGAAGCCUGACGCAGCCAUGCCGCGUGAGUGAUGAAGGUCUUAGGGUUGUAAAGUUCUUUCACCGGGGACGAUAAUGACGGUACCAGCAGAAGAAGCCCCGGCUAACUUCGUG
rnacentral:rRNA from 1 species